rnacentral:rRNA from 1 species
AGCAGCCGCGGUAAUUCCAGCUCCAAUAGCGUAUAUUAAAGUUGUUGCAGUUAAAAAGCUCGUAGUUGAAUUUCGGAGUUUGUCGGUUGGUCGGGCUUCACUGUCCGCACUGACCUGAUGGAUUCCUACCUUCUGAAUAACCAGCAUGCUAUUAAGUUAGUGCGUUGGGGAAGCAGAGCUAUUACCUUGAAAAAAUUAGAGUGCUUAAAGCAGGCUUAUGCUUGAAUAGAUUAGCAUGGAAUAAUAAAAUAGGACGGCAUGGUUCUAUUUUGUUGGUUUCUAGGAUCACCGUAAUGAUUAAUAGGGAUAGUUGGGGGCAUUAGUAUUCAAUUGUCAGAGGUGAAAUUCUUGGAUUUAUUGAAGACUAACUUCUGCGAAAGCAUUUGCCAAGGAUGUUUUCAUUAAUCAAGGACGAAAGUUAGGGGAUCGAAGACGAUCAGAUACCGUCGUAGUCUUAACCAUAAACUAUGCCGACUAGGGAUCGGACGAUGUUAAUUUUUAAUGACUCGUUCGGCGUCCG